AACAUCGCGCACCUGCGGGAACCUGCGGAGGGAUCAUUACCGAGUUUACAACUCCCAAACCCCUGUGAACAUACCUAUACGUUGCCUCGGCGGAUCAGCCCGCGCCCCGUAAAAAGGGACGGCCCGCCCGAGGACCCCUAAACUCUGUUUUUAGUGGAACUUCUGAGUAAAACAAACAAAUAAAUCAAAACUUUUAGCAAUGGAUCU
rnacentral:misc_RNA from 1 species